GCUCUGGGACUGGAGUCUUCUAAGCCUUCCUGCCCCUUCCCCUAGAUAGGUGAGCUUUUUCGGUAAGAACUAAAUGCAAUGCUGGACACUGGAAAUAAUUCUACUCAAAAGCAUGAGUUGCCUUUUCUCAUUGUAUUCGCCUCUCAGAAGGUUUUCUUGUAGACGGAUUUAUGGAAGUGACUUUCUUCUCUGGCCCGGCAAGAAAACUGCUUUCUGGUUUACAGAACUUGGAUGUAACGGGAAUCCUCCCUUCCACCAGCACUGAAGAAGCACUUCCUUUGAAAGAAGAUUCUGGAAAUGUAGUGGAAGACCUUGCCAUCUCACAUCUACCACCUUGUCUACCCCGUUCCUCCUCUGGAGUGCCUGGUGGAGACAUGUGGAAAAGAGCUGGAAAGUGAGAAUAGAAUCCCAUUUAUCCACAGUAGCCCAACUAUAGUUAUUAAGGAGUUAUAGUACUGCUCACUGCUUCUGCCUGUGGUGUCUAUUUCUUCCCUCUUUGUCAAAGCCACUUUCAGGUGCCUUAGCCUCUUCCAGAUCCAAGCUUUCUGACUGACGUGUUUAAGAAAGUGAAAUAAAAGUUUGUAGACUACCCUA
rnacentral:lncRNA from 1 species